UACAGAGGCCUCGAGCGUUAGGCGGAAUCACUGGGCGUAAAGGGCGCGUAGGUGGCGACCCAAGUCGAUGGUGAAAGCUCGCCGCUCAACGGCGAGUCGGCCACUGAUACUGGGUUGCUGGAGCACUGUAGAGGCAGAUGGAAUUCCGGGUGUAGCGGUGGAAUGCGUAGAGAUCCGGAAGAACACCGGUGGCGAAGGCGGUCUGCUGGGCAGUUGCUGACACUGAGGCGCGACAGCGUGGGGAGCAAACAGG
rnacentral:rRNA from 1 species